ACUCCUACGGGAGGCAGCAGUGAGGAAUAUUGGGCAAUGGAGGCAACUCUGACCCAGCCAUGCCGCGUGCAGGAAUAAGGUCCUAUGGAUUGUAAACUGCUUUUAUACAGGAAGAAACCUCUCUACGUGUAGGGACUUGACGGUACUGUAUGAAUAAGCACCGGCUAACUCCGUGCCAGCAGCCGCGGUAAUACGGAGGGUGCAAGCGUUAUCCGGAAUCAUUGGGCGUAAAGAGCUCGUAGGCGGUUUGUCACGUCUGCUGUGAAAAUCCAAGGCUCAACCUUGGACUUGCAGUGGGUACGGGCAGGCUAGAGUGCGGUAGGGGAGAUGGGAAUUCCUGGUGUAGCGGUGGAAUGCGCAGAUAUCAGGAGGAACACCAAUGGCGAAGGCACAUCUCUGGGCCGUAACUGACGCUGAGGAGCGAAAGCGUGGGGAGCGAAACAGGAUUAGAUACCCUGUAGGUCAGUC
rnacentral:rRNA from 1 species